GGUUUGCUAGCUGAGUGGUAAAGCACCUGGCUUCUGAACCAAGAUGUCCUGGUUUCAAAUCUCAGAUAAAUUA
rnacentral:tRNA from 1 species